GGGGCGAGGAGGCGCUGCUGAAGAAGAUGAGCUCCAGUGACACCCCCCUGGGCACGGUGGCGCUGCUGCAGGAGAAGCAGCGGGCGCAGAAGACGCCGUACAUCGUCCUGAGCGGCUCCGGGAAGAGCAUGAACGCGAACACCAUCACCAAGUGAGGGGCACGGGGACACCUGGGGACACUUUGGGGACACCCCUGGACACCCCGGGGACACCCCGGGGACCCCCUGGGGACA